AUCACUUUCAAAAAUAGCUGAUAUUUUAACUAAAAAUAUGUGAAAUUAGAAUACACAGGUUUUUGUUUUCUGCGCUUCUGAGGCAAGCUUCAACAUGAUGUACCUCAGUAUCAAUAUUUAAAAGCAGAAAGUUAAUCAGAUAAGAACAUGUUUGGGAAAUAAAAAUAAUCUUCGUGGAAAUAGUGCUCCUCACUACAAAAUUGCAUUCAUUAAAUGUUUUAUUUCACAGAUUAAUAUAUCAAAUCAGUGUUCUUAGAUUUUUUUUUUUCUCAGAAGAAAUUCCAGAAGCAAUUUAACUUCAUUUUCAGGAAUAAAUAAGGGUGUUUAAUUUCACACAGCCUCAGGGAAUCACAAAUUAAAACUUUCUACUAAAAUGGAUGCCAUCUACUAUUCAUUAUUUCAACAAACAAAACACUGCUGAAGUUGCAAUCAGGGUAAGGGAUAUUGUAGUGCUUGAAACCUGGAAGGGUGAGAGGUCCUACUUUGUGUUCUUGUUCCUAAGCAGCCCAUUUCACAUCUUCCUCUGAGUUCUCCAGCACCCCACAGAGCUACUCUCUGUGGCAAAAAGCUUCAUUAAGUAAAUAGAGUCUCUGCAUUUAGAAGCCAUCUCAGGGAAUUCAAAGUGCUCUGAGAGGGAAAUUGGAACUAUCAAGAUUAAGGUAUUAAUGAAAAGUUCUGUUAAAUUCCUGUUGGGAUGCUAAUUAAUCUUCUAAAAAUUGUUAAUCAAUUCAAUUAUAUAACACACUUUAACACACAGUUACAGGAAAAGUAACAGGGUCUUUUAUGCCCAGAGGCAUGAAAAAGUUAAGGGAAAUUGUCUAAUGGGAAAAUCAUCCCUAAAUAGCGUUUUAGCUUGAUCUUCAAUAUUCACUUGUUCUAUCCCACUUGAUAAAUUUGGGAAAUCAAUAUUUUGUGCUCAGAUGUUUGAAGAAAUACUAGACAUAGUAGGAGAAAUGCAGGAAGUGGAAUUAUGACAACUGUUCCCUAAUAGAAUUGCUUACCUGAAGAGCAAAAGACAAUCUUAGCACGAGUGUAUGCAUGCUGACACACAUGCUGAUAACUGUGGUUUGAGCAAGUAAUCUGAUAAAUUUUUAAUAUUUGAAACCUAACCAUAGGAAUUGGAAGUAUUGCACUGAAGGAGCUCCACUAAGUUUCUGUCGUUGUUAAAAUAUUUUGUUUGAGUCAGUAGGAAUUUGAAUCAGUUUAAUUUUGUUAAAUAUUAAAAUGUCAAUCCAUCUUUAGAUUGUUUAAUAUACUGUCUGAAAUGGUAUAUGAAAUUAUGUACUUAGUGCCUAUAAAAUAUAUGCCACUUGAGAAGUGUUAACAUGAAUGGCUAUUUGUGGCAGUGCUUGCCUGUAAUCUCAGCUACUUAAGAAUCUGAGCCAAUAGGAUCCCAAAUUCAAAGUCAGCCUGAGCAAUUUAUCAAACCCUGUUCCAAAAUAAAAAGGGCUGGAGAUACAGCUCAGUAUACAGUGGGAUCAAUACCUAAUACUGCAAAAGAAGAAAAAAAGUGAAGUACUAUGUAAAGAAGCAGAAAUAGAUGACAUAAUUUAACACCAAAAGUGAGGUAUAACCUUAUGGGUCAUUCAAUGAGUAUUACUUUUGCAGAUUCUGAUCCAGUAAGUCUAAUUUGACCAGAGCAGCAUUAGUUUCUAAUUCAGUCCAGUCAGAGUUGAGAACCUUUGAGGUUAUAUAUCAGCAACAGGUUUUAUUUUCAUAAAUAAUUUGAAUAAUCAUUUUGGAAAGCUAAAAUUUGAUUACAUUUUAAUCUUGGGCCCAUUUUCCUAUUGUCCAUCUAUUCUGCCAUGUGGUCUGUAUAUGUUGCCUAGUCUGGUCUUAAACUCAAGAUUCUUCCACCUAAGCCUCCCAAGUAGUUUACAAGAAUUCUCUAGCAUGCCCGUCACAUUUUCUAAGAAGAAAAUUGGUGCUAAUGAUUCUGCUUCAAUUUAAUAAAUAUCUUUCUCCUAAAGUUGAAGACUGUUUCCGAUAGGCUCCAUGGAACCUUUAUGAGAUGAGACACCUUCAUAUUGGAUGUCUUUUUGCUUUCUUCAUAGUGGGAAAUUUUGAGAAGGAAGAACUGAGAGUAAUAUCCUACCAGUUCUAAUUCUACAUACUAAUCUACCACUCCUGGGAGAAUGAGGCUAGCCUAGUUGAAUUUGAUGAGGUUGACUGCUAUGUGACCAAGGAGGACAUAAUAAAUCAUGGUAUUUGAAGAACAUCCUGAGUUCAAAGAAUUUAGGAUGUAGAAACAAGCCCAGGCACCAUCAGCUAUCUAAUCUUCAGCAAAGGGACCAAAAACAUACACUGGAAAAAGAUCACCUUUUAACAAACAGUGCUGGGAAAACUGGUUAUCCACAUGUGGAAGAAUGAAUCUAGACCCAUAUCUCUUCACCCUGCACUAAAAUCAAAUAAAAAUGGAUCAAAGAGUUAUAUAAAAACAGAAACAUGAAUCUACUGUAAGAAGAAUUGGCAAAAUUCUUGAAGACAUAGGCAUAGGCAAGGACUUUCUGAACAAAACUCCAAUGUCAGAAUAAGUAACAACAAUCAACACAUGGGACUCUAUCAAAUUAAAAAGCUUCUGCACAGCAAAGAAAGCCAACAGAGUUAACAAAACCUACACAAUGGGAAACAAAAGUUGGCCAGCUACUCCUCAGAUAAAAGACUAGUUUCUAGAAAAUAUAAAGAACUCAAAAAAAAAAAAUUGACACUCCCAGAUAAAAGACCCAACCCAAAAAAUGGGCAAGAAGAAAUACAAAUGGCCAAUGGGCACGUGGAAAAGUGCUUGUCAUCUUUGGUCAUUAGAGAAAUGCAAAUCAAAUAACACUGAGAUUCCAUCAUACUUGAGAAAGAAUGGCUAUCAUCACAAAUUAAAAAAAAAACCAAAACAACAAAAAAUCAAAUGGUGAUAAGGUUGUGGGGAAAAAGGAAUCCUUCUGCCUUAGUGGGAAUCUAAACUAGUGGAACCACUUUGAAAAUAAGGAUGAAGAUUCCUCAGAAAACAAAAAGUAGAGAUUCCAUUUGGCCCACCUAUACCUCUUCUGGGUAUCUUUUUGAAAGAGAAAGACAUCAUAUUACAGUGAUGCAUACUCAUGUCUAUAGCACCACAACUCAUAAUAGCUAAA